UCUCUUUAAAAAAAUCCAAUUAGUGCUUUGAAACAAACUUAUCACCUUUCAGAAUCCUCUGGUCAAACUAGGAUUCUGAUUCUUUUAAUUAUACAACUCAGAGGUGGCAAAUGGUUGUUAACCACACACAAAAACAUAAACACAAACCCAGGCAGAACCUGUCACAGUGGCAUCUGCCCUUUCUUGCUGUUAAGUUAUGGCCUGCUUACGCUCGAGUCCAAUGCAAUCAAUUCUUGCAGGGA